UCAACCCCAGACACAACCUUUAGAUGCGCAACAGUCGUUAGCUCCUGUCAACUGAGCGUUCACAGUGUCCCUGGCUCUGUGUGGAGCACGUUACGUGCCUUUGUUAUUUGGUUGUAGUGGGGUGAACGGUGGCUCCUGAAAGACGUGUCCAUGUCCUAGUCUCUGGAACCUGUGACUAUGACCGAAUUUGGAAGAGGACUUUGCAGAUGUAAUUAAGCAAAGAAUCUCAAGAUCGUGCUGGAUUAUUCAGGUGGCCCCUGUGUCCGAUGUCAAGAGUCCUUAUAAAAGACACCCAGAGGAGAGAUGUGAAGCAGCCCAUGUGAAGAGACGGGCAGAGCCUGGAGUGAUGCAGCCACAAGCCAAGGAGCCCCUACAGCCACCAGGGGCUGGAAGACUCAAGGAAGUCUUCUCUUUUAGAGCCUUCAAAUGGAGCAUGGCCCUGCUGACACCUUGAUUUUGGAUUUCUGGCCUCCAGAACGAACCAAAACGAAGCUCUGGUGUGCAGAUCAUAAAAGAGAAGGGGCGGAAGGCAGGAGACACGGUGAGCAUUGGAGAAGGGGGCAGCUUCGGGACGAUGGGGCUGUGCUUUGAAGGCCGGAAGCGCUCAGACAGGUGGAGAUGGGGCAGAAGAGAUGAACCAGCGCCAGGUGUGGUGUAGCAAGGGCCUGGGGGACAGAAAGGAGGCCCGGAGCCAGGCUGGGGAAGGAGACCCAGCUCUGCUCCACCGCCUCCCUUCUCCCAAAGCCAGCCUCCCCCCCACCGCAUUAACAACCUUGCCGACCUGAGCCAUCAAAGACAUGCCCUGCCUUCUUCAUCCAUCAAAGGUGCCGUGGAAGCCCCCAGGUAGCUGAGAAGUUGAUGGAAUCUUCUUACUGGUCCAACUUACCUUACUGGUGUGAGGUAAAGGGUCUGAGUCUGGAAUAUCUGAACUGGGUCUCAGUUCCUGCUCUGCUGGUGGAGGAAAAACUGUGUAAGAGCAGCUCCUGAAAGGCAAGAUGCUUUAAAAAGAAGAAGGAAAAAAAAAAAAAAAGGAAGCCAUGUAUUUGCUUGGAAUUUGUUUUUGCUUGCUCAGGAUCUUGUAGCAAGAAUAGAUUGGGAGUCAGAAAUCCUUGGGUCCAAAGGUCACAUCUACUGGUUCAACCUGACUACUUUGAGUCUCAGUUGCCUCUUUGUAAAAUGGCAUCACAAACAGGCCCUAUGUCACCAGGCUGCUGUAAGGAUUAAAUGAGCUCUUGUGUGAAGCACCAAGCUUGGGGUGUGCAAAGCAAACAGUGAUUCUCUCCCUGCUCUCUUUGAAUUUAUGGUAUGUGCUAAAUGGAUGUGCUUCCAAGGGGCACUUAAGGGAUGGGUUAUCACUUCUCAUUGCAGUCAACUGGCUGAAACACUCACUUUUUCAUCUUGAUAUGUGAGAUGUGACAUUCUGAUCCUCUGAAUUGUAAACUUAGAAUCUCAGAGAGCUCAGGAUGGCUGAAUCCAACUCCAUCAUUUUAGUGAUGGGGACAGUGACUUGCCUAAGGUCACCCACUGGGCUGGUGGCAGAGCUGGGGCGAGAACCCAGGUCUGCUGACUCCCAGCCCACUGCUUUGUCAUCCCAGGUGAGAAGGAGCCACGGGAAGGAAAGACCACAGGGAUACUGCCUUGAUCCAACCUCGCCAUGAUUCCAACAUCUGAGAGGAGGAUAGAGUGAAGGUUUCGCCCAAGGAGGCCCACUCUGCUCUGUGAACCCCAUCCUGUGGGGGUCACAUGUUGGGGGUGGAUGGGGCCUCCGCGAUAGGACUGAGAUCUCAGGAGCUGGGACCAGUCCUGCCAUUGCCGAGUCAGAGGAGGAGCCCGGGGUUCUACUGCAGGCAUCAAGGGGUAAGGCGAUAGCCCAACUUGGCGUUGAUUGCUGCUUCUUACCGGCUGUGUGACCUGAGCAGGGAAUUGCGCUCCCUGAACCUGUUACCUUAUCUGAGAACCAAGAAGAAUCUAAGUGUGUACCUCAUAGGUUAUGGUAAAGAUUAAAUAAGUUAAUAUAAUCAUAAUAAUAAUGGCCAACAUUAACCCACAUGUACCAUGUGCCAGCUUGGGUUGUAAACUAUAUGUAUUUGCUCAUUAAUCUUCAUACCCCUUGUAUUUUGCUGCUGGGGAAACAGAGGCUCAGAAUGGUGACGCAGAAGCCGGGGACACAAAAUCAGAGAGGACAGUGCCAGGUUUGAACCGAGUAGACUGGCUUUGGUAUCCUGUGCCUGACCACUCUGCCCUUGGACCUCUCUAUUUAGGCAAAACCUGGUGCUCUAAAAAUGCCCAGCCCGCUACCCUUUUCCCUUACCUUCCUCACCUAUGCCCUUUUGUCCCAAAGUGUGCAUUCCAGAAACUGUGUGCUGUCAUUUCUCAGAUACCGGAAGUCCACACGAAGAGUUUACAACCCAGCCUGGCACAUAGGUUCACAUAGAUUCACCUUAAAUUAUUUUUCUUCUCAGUUUUG